rnacentral:rRNA from 1 species
GAUGAACGCUGGCGGCGUGCCUAAUACAUGCAAGUCGAGCGAACAGACGAGGAGCUUGCUCCUCUGACGUUAGCGGCGGACGGGUGAGUAACACGUGGAUAACCUACCUAUAAGACUGGGAUAACUUCGGGAAACCGGAGCUAAUGCCGGAUAAUAUAUUGAACCGCAUGGUUCAAUAGUGAAAGACGGUUUUGCUGUCACUUAUAGAUGGAUCCGCGCCGCAUUAGCUAGUUGGUAAGGUAACGGCUUACCAAGGCAACGAUGCGUAGCCGACCUGAGAGGGUGAUCGGCCAAACUGGAACUGAGACACGGUCCAGACUCCUACGGGAGGCAGCAGUAGGGAAUCUUCCGCAAUGGGCGAAAGCUUGACGGAGCAACGCCGCGUGAGUGAUGAAGGUCUUCGGAUCGUAAAACUCUGUUAUUAGGGAAGAACAAAUGUGUAAGUAACUAUGCACGUCUUGACGGUACCUAAUCAGAAAGCCACGGCUAACUACGUG